rnacentral:lncRNA from 1 species
UUUGUUUGAGCUUAGUCAUCUUUCUCUCUCAACUCUCUGAACUGUCUCAACUCUAGGAAGUCUCUAUUGAGAACUAUCGUCGUCAGCUCUCUCAGAUCUCUGAAUUGUAUGAGCUCUGUCAACUUUCUGUUGAGCACCAUUGUCAUCGAGCUGUCUUCUAUCUCUCGGCAUCUGGCCACAUUGUUGUAGAUUAACAGACCUUAUAGUAG